GCCAGACUCCUACGGGAGGCAGCAGUGGGGAAUAUUGCACAAUGGGGGAAACCCUGAUGCAGCAACGCCGCGUGAGUGAAGAAGUAUUUCGGUAUGUAAAGCUCUAUCAGCAGGGAAGAAAAUGACGGUACCUGAGUAAGAAGCCCCGGCUAACUACGUGCCAGCAGCCGCGGUAAUACGUAGGGGGCAAGCGUUAUCCGGAUUUACUGGGUGUAAAGGGAGCGUAGACGGCGAUACAAGUCUGAAGUGAAAGCCCGGGGCUCAACCCCGGGACUGCUUUGGAAACUGUGUUGCUGGGGUGCUGGAGAGGCAAGCGGAAUUUCUAGUGUAGCGGUGAAAUGCGUAGAUAUUAGGAAGAACACCAGUGGCGAAGGCGGCUUGCUGGACAGUAACUGACGUUGAGGCUCGAAAGCGUGGGGAGCAAACAGGAUUAGAUACCCGCGUAC
rnacentral:rRNA from 1 species